ACCAUGGAAGGAAACGGGGUUUCUAAUCCUGCUGCCAGUGCUGAGCUGGGGCUGGGCCUUCUGUCUGUGUGACCCCAGUGCUGGCCCUCACCCCCAGCCCCUGGGCAGGUGACUGGGGCAGCCCUGUCACCUGCAGGACACAACACUGAACAAGACCCGCCCCUGUGGGUGUCCCCAAGUGUCCCCUGGCCCCAGGGCGCCCUCCCCCUGCUUACUCCCAGGACAGACAAGGAGGGUGUCUGGCUGGCCAGCAGGGUAUAUGUCAUAAGGGCCCCUCCCCCAAGAGGGGUGACCCAGGGACAGGUUCUAGGGCCAGGUCAUCGGGGUGACUGAGACACCAGGCAGUUUCUGGGGGGAGCAGAAACCUAGUCUCCUUGUGAUGAAAAUCAUCUUAAAGUCAUUUCUGUUUAAAUGGAGAAUCAUCUUAACAAACUGCAAGUGUGUUGGGCACUUCUGUCCCACUUUGGCAGCAUCCUCGAUCCCGGCUCCCCUGAAGCCAGCAGACCUGGGGAGUGGGUCUGGGGAGGCCGAGCAGCCCCAAGGGAGCAGGGAGUGGCGAGGAUGGUGAGCCCACCAAUGGCCCGGGCCCGGCCCUGCAAUGUGUGACAGUCGGGCCUUCUGCCCAGACACCAUCCAGCCCCUCCACCCUGUGCAUGGUGCUGGUGCUCCCAAGCCCAAGGCCUCCAGAGGCUGGCUGCCGAGGGGGUGGCCGGGACACCAGCACAAGGGGGCGGGCAGGGACCGCGUGGAAGCCACCAGCUCAGGCCCUGCAGCCUUCCGCAGGAAGGGUGGGACAGAUGGAGUCCUGGCCGCAGGGCCGGCUGGGGCACAUGCCUCGCCACUUCCUCUUCAGCUCUGUGGGACGGACGCUGGGACACAUGGGGCCAGUGGAGCCGCAGGGUGUGUUCCAGGGCCCCCACAUCAUGAUCCGUGGGGCACCUGCAGCACCAGGCCCAGGAUCACAGGGACCCAGCCUGUGCCGCGCCCCACCCCCCCAUUGAGCAACCAGCCAGCUGAGGUCAGUCUGGCCUGGGACAGGAGCACGUGGCCAGUGAGAGUCCAUGUGUGUGCCCUUGGCCAGGUAAUGUGCACAGAGGGUCCUCGGGCCACCGUGUCCUCAUAUCAGGAAAGCUGCUUGCCCAUCUGUCGGCCUGCAAAUCUCCAUGCCCUAAGGCUCCAGCUGUGGAUACACUGACUCAUGUUGGCUGAAGGCCAUCACCUGUCACCUGCAGAGGAGCGAGCACCCUGCACACUUAAGGCCCGUUGGGGGGGGGCACAGGGGACAGCAUGUGGUUCCUUCCAGGCCCCAGAAAGCAGCCACCUCCCUGCAGGGCACCCCGGCCGUCCAAGGUGGGUGCCCUGCACACGGCCAACCACGGCCACGGGACCGGAGAGCCUGCUUCCUGGUGCAUGUGUGCAUGUGUGUGCACGUGUGCAGUCCACCCUGCACCUGUGUGCCCUGGGCGGGUAAAACCCAUUCCCAGGGCCCUGGGCACUCCCCUGAACACUCCCCGUGGGACAGAUGCAGCAGGCUGACCCAGUCAGGUUCUCAGGAGGCCCGGGCCCGUGAGAGGGGUGCAGAGGGAGGGGAGGGAAGGGGCGACAGCCUCCGGGUGCUGGCGGUGGGUCAGAAGGCAAGGGAAGGCCCGGGCAGGGGAGGUGCCUGAAGACACAGCCCCCGCGUCUCCGGGAACAGUGUGCCUCCCCACUCUUGGCAGGAGAGGCAGUUGCUACAUGGCUCGCUUUCAGGUUUUCAGAUCCCAGGAAUCCUCAGGGGCGUUGUGGAAGCUCCGUGCUACAGGCCAGCGGUGCUAUAGGCCAGCGUGGCCGUGAGCGAUCUGAACACGGCCUCCACCAGCCCUGCCUCCUGGAGGUGAUUCCCAGGAUUUUCUUCCGUGUUCACACAGGCGCCCCCCCCAACCCCCCUCCUCCAUGGGAAUUGGGUCGUGUUGUGCAGAAGCCCUACAGCUGCCUCCCCAGGGCACGAGGGAUGUGAGGACCCCUGGUUGGUUCUGCUGGAAACCCGGGCCUCAGCCUGUCCCACCAACUGCCGUCAGGUGCCGGUCCCCCACGCCCCGGAAUACAGAUCCUGCUGCGAUCGAUCGUACAAACCGUACAAACCGACUUCUUUACUCCUGGGAAACAGGGACAAGACUCAGCAGGGGCCGUGAUUUGCGUCACAGGGCCAGGCACCCUGAGGGCACCUCACAAAGGAUUGAGGGCGUCCUUUACAGGAAGUGUCCCUUGGAGGAUGGAAACAAAGAUGCUUCCUCCCCCAUCCUCUCAAGGUUUCACAGGGAAGGGGAGUGGCACAGUGGCUGGCAGGUGACGUCCUUGCUCGUCCACCCAGCCAGGGCCAUGCAGACCUGAGGGGCAGGUGUGCUGUGAACCCCGGGCCCUGAGCUGCUGCUUAUGCUCAAUGCCCAGAACUGAAGAAACAAUGAGGACAGAUAAACCAGUGGAGUCUAAUCACAGAACAGACCAAGGAGGACCAAGGUAACCUCUAGAAGAUGUGGAACUGUCCGCGUCCGCUUGGCUGAGCGUUGUAAUCAGAGAGAGCAGACUACACACAGCACACCUGGAAACACAGGCUUCUAUGGUUUAAAUAAUUAUGAUUAUGAAUCUAGAGCUUGCAAACUGCUAUUUUCAAAUCAUGAAAUAUUAUAAUUCCUUUCUGACUUGAAAACACACAUUACAUUAAACCCCAUUACAAGACCA